rnacentral:misc_RNA from 1 species
CAGGGGUAUGUGUUUUUUGGAACUAAAUUAAAUAAUUGUUAUGUGACAUUCUUUGAUUUUUGAUUGUCUGUCUAGAUUUUUAUCUAAGAUGUGCAUUAUUUUAGUUCCAAGGUGAAGUGAAUAAUUGCUUAACUGUUUAUUUGUCCAAUUUAUUUAUUUUUAUGCUUUGUUAUGAUGUGAAAUGUUCAUGUAAAAGAGCAACAAGGGUGCUUCAAUAAUUUUUUAUUUGUAUCCAUAUACAAAAUUAAAAAUAGGUAUCUAUAGAUAUUUGUAUCCCUAUACUAAUAGGUACCUAUGGAAAAAUAUAUUAAUAACCUAACUUAUAUUUAUUUUCAUAAAGCUUGCUAGGGAAUUUAUAGUAAAUUAGAAAUAUAUUUAUUUGCUUCUUGUUGGACAUGCCUGAUGGAUGUAUUAAUGACCUGACUUUCACAUCUUAGUUUUAUACGUGUCCUAUGCCCAUAGCCUGUUGAGUAAUAUCAGAUGUGGAUAUUCACAUUUUCAAAGUUACCACUGAAAAUGGCAAUUGAGUGCUCAGCAACUGUCUAAAAAAAUUUUCUGGAUUCUUGAAGGAGCCAAACCAUCUCAAAUCUCAAUCAGUUUUUCUCGCAAUUUAGCACUUGUUUUGUCUAAUUUAGCUGUUCUAAUUGAAAUAAAAUUUUCUAUAACAUACUCAUUGGUAUCCAAGCUUGAAUUGCCUGGGGAACAGCAGAGUGGGUUGCUUUGUUUUCCUUGGGCAGGAGCUAAUUCUCCUGCUUCUCAAAUCCUACCUCUCCAUUUACUUGGAAACUAUUUUAACUGCUCUUUCUCCCUCUUCAUGUAGGUUAUAAUUCCCCCGG